rnacentral:lncRNA from 1 species
UCCUCAUGCAUUCUUUGCCACCUCAUCGUUCCUUUCCCUCUCCUACUAUAACAAAAAUUAUUUUUUAAGUUCAUUGAAUAACUGAUGCAUAGGUCAGACACAUCAGUUACUCAAGGAAUCUAAAAAGUAAUUUUUUUCUUAUAAUAGGGACAUGAGGGAGUAGAUUAUAAAACCUAGUUAGAACAACAAUCACAUCUGAACAUCAAUAACCAACAAAGUAACAAACCACAGCAAUCCAAAUCCAUUCAUCUCUCAAUAUAAACCUAUCUACACCGACAAAUUCUUAUUGUGCAGAACCUUGCCCAGUCUAUACAAACAUUUCACCUAAAUUAUAGAAUUCCCUUGAAAUAUACCUUUCAAUGUUAUACCUAUAACUGAAGCAAUUCCACCUAAACACCAUGAUCCAAACAAAAAUUAGGGUAAAUAAAAAUUGGGGAUGGAGGAUGGUAAAUUAAUUCUAGGGUAAUAAGCAUUUCCCAUUAUUUCCCACAACGAAUCUCAAAAUCAACAAUGACCCAUAAAUCAAAAAUUAAAAAUUUACACAAACAAAUAAUAAAAAUCAAGCCUUGGUCAAAUCCCACCAUAAAAAAAAUCUAAAACAAAAAAUCCCAAAAUCAAAAAAUAUAACAAAUCAAGCCUUGCGAUUCAACGUGAAGCUGGAAUUAUGAAAUUCGAUUUCCACGCGAAAUGAAAAGAAGAAGAAAGAUAGAAAUUUACCUGAGAUCUGAUUUCCCCAAUUUAAUCAGGUGAAGAAAAAAUUGGUGGCAAAAUCGUGUAAUUGCGCGUAAAUUAUUUGCCCCUUUCCAAAACGGCGGCGUUGAAUAAUGAAAGAGAGAGAGAGAGAGAGAGAGAGAGAGAGAGAGAGAGAGAGAGAGAGAGAGAGAGAGUAGAGAUAGAGUGAGUCUAUAACUGCGUUUUCAUUUUUCGUUUUGUAGAAAAAAUAGAAUCGAUUAUAGAGAGAAUCGAUUUUAGAUCGUCGCUGUUAUACACCGCCAAACAACCCUCUUUCGCAAUCAAAGUGUAACCUGACUUUUUAUCUAGUUGACUAUUUUAACCCUU